AUGAGCGUGAUGGGAGAGGAGAAGCAUAACUCUAGCUGGGUGGUGGAUAUGGAGAAGAUGCUGGCAGAUGACGAUCCUCAGUGGAGGAGGAUGCAGGCAGAGCGAUGGGAGGCGCAAUCCAUCUACCGGGUGCCAGAGUGGCUCAAGCGCAUGAACGCAAAGGCCUACCAGCCGCGGCUGGUGUCUUUGGGUCCCUUCCACCACGGUGACUCCAACCUGCUGCCCAUGGAGGAGCACAAGCGCCGCGCGUUGGUGCACCUCAUCAAGCGAAGCAAAAAGCCGCUCCAGGAUUUCAUCUCUGCCAUCGACGACGUGGCGGAGGAGCUCCAGGCAGCAUACGGGGUGGACCUCCAUGGCAAAUGGCGGACCAACCGAGAAACCUUCAUCGACAUGAUGCUCAUGGACGGCUGCUUCCUGCUGGAGAUGAUGAGCGGCCCUUUCCAGGAUUACAAGCCGCAUGAUCCUGUCUUCAGCAUGCACGGCAGAAAACAAAUACAUGCCAUUAUCCUGUCCGACAUGCUACUAACUGAGAAUCAGCUGCCUCUGCUUGUUCUCAAGAAGAUCCUGGGUGUUCUGCGUCCUAACUAUCCGGUGCAGGUAAACCGUGGUCCAAGGCAACAUUUUCGAAACCUCAUAGUGCUGGAAUGCCUACGCCAGGGGCUGCAUGAAGGUCAUGACAUUGUGGAGGUUUUUCAGUGGCUACAGGAGGUUGCAAUGGAUAUUUUUUCAAUAGAGGUUGAAAUGGAUGUGGAUAUAAACCUCAUGGUGCAGCAGUGCAAAGAUUUCCUUACCGAGGCAAAUACCGACAAUAACAGGAAAUACCCACCCCCCAUGGAGGUUUUUGAUUGGCUGCUGCAGACUGCUGCGGAUAUAGAUAUAAAUCUUAUGGUGCUGAGUUUUCAAGGCCGGGCACAUGAAGGCCAUGACAUCGCGAACAUGUCGCUGAGGCUCCAUCCCCUCGAACUUUACCAUGGAAGCCUCACCUACAGUAAUGGCGCCAGUGGAGUUUACAACAAAUCGCCAGAACACAAGUAUGAAAUGAUGCCCUCAGCAUUCGAAAUCCACGAGGCUGGCAUCAAAUUCAAGAAGAGAGAGAGAGGCAACCUGGUGGACAUUGACUUCAAGCGUGGCGUGCUGAGCAUGCCGGUGACUAAGGUGGUCGACAGCACCGAGAGCUUGUACCUCAACCUGAUGGCUUUUGAGCGGCUGCAUGUCGGCGCUGGCGACCUCGUGACAGCCUAUGUGAUCUUCAUGGACAACAUCAUUGUCUCGGCCAAGGACGUUGAGAUGCUGAGUUCCAAUGGGGUCCUCAAGAAUAUGCUAGGCUGCAAUGAGGAGGCCGCGAAGCUAUUCAACGGUACUCUGUCCAGAGGGCAAGUUCUGGGGCCGUGCCCUGGUCUCCACAAAGUUCAGUACGACGUGAAGGCCUACUGCAGAAAGCCGUGGCACAAGUGGCGAGCCACCCUAAUACGCACCUACUUCCGAAACCCUUGGACGUGCAUCUCCCUUGCAGCUGCCGCCAUUCUACUCAUUGCCACCCUGUUGCAGACCAUCUACACCAUGAAGCAGAACAUGUCUUGA
rnacentral:rRNA from 1 species